GGGGCAAACACGGAGUGAGUCACGCGGCGAGGAUGAGGAGCGAAGGCACGAAAUAACAGCAGAUCUGCAGGAAACACUGAGCUAUUAUUUGGAAUCAUUUCACACGGACUUCCUGAUUUACCAAGUUCUGUCGCAGCCAUUGCUCAGCUGCAUCUCAGUUAAUAACUACCUACGAACUGAACUGCCUGAUCUUGUGCUGGAACACGAUACCGCGUUUUCACACUCUGGUUUAGCGCAUUUGUAAGGAACAAACAACUGCUGUGAGGCUGACGACAAGUUCCUCUUUGACUGAAGUAAGACGACAAGGACAAAACAGCCACAGCCAGAAAGUUGAGUCCGCCCAGGCGUCCGACCAGGUCGCCAUGAUCCACCCCCGCGCCGUGUGACAGACACUGGAGCCCGGCAGCGAACGGACGCGUCAUUGAAUGUGAAUUCAUGAAAAGCAGCAGAUUCAGGCAGUCAACGGAAUGACUGGGUCAAACCCACGACGUGUGACUUGAGGUUUGACGCUGGAAGCCCUCGGGUCACACAGGAAGGAGGCCGCCCCGAGGUGCAAGACCUCAUCCAGACAGUCCUCCGGUGGCUUUGAUGGAGUCUGAAGUUGCACUGGGGAGGAUUUCCUUCCUCGCGCCGCCGUCAAACGCAACAGAAACAACCCCCGGCGCUGGGCGUUUCAGGGCGCGCUGCUCAGCGAAGCAAGCGGUUUAGCCAUGUGACGCUCUGCGCUUCUCUGCCCAGAAACAAGGCGACAGUCACACCUCCCCGCCGUCAGAGCAAAACAAACCCAAACUCAUGGUAUUCACUCGGUGCUGGACGUGAAGGUCCAAACGGGCCUCUUUGACAGAGUUCACCUCCUUUUCUUUGGUGGCGGUCGCACUGAGCACAGGGAGCCGUCGUCUCCCGCGCAUCAAUAUCCGUUCCGAUCACAUGAAAAGUGACGCAAGCCUGGACCGCUAUCGCCUCAGCUGUUGGAUAAAUGGAGGUGUUUUUCCACCAUUUCGCAACGUGUCAAGUACGAGAUGUGCGACCUGCCGACAACAAACACUUUAAAAGGCGCGAGUCAAGGUUGCACAACAAGUAGCAGGAGCGUCUGAUUCUCCAUCAAAUGGUGCAAAACACGCCAGCCGAGCCCACGGGUGUGCGUUUGUGCGUCUGUGCGCUUUGUGCCGCGGCUCAUCGCCUUCCUUCCUCCCGGCGGAGCCGCUUGAGGACGGCACCGGGGCGACCGGGAGCCGCGCGCCAACUGGCACACGGCGCCAGUCCGCGAGCUCAGCUUUUACAUAACGAUGACAUCAUCCCCAGCGCCACUUAGCACAAUACGAGUUGCCACGGCGAGAACCCACCGGAGAGGGAGAAAGGGGGCGAUUUGCUGAAUUAUUGAUGUCGAAGGGGAUCGAAUAACCAAUAUUUUAAUGACAUUUUAUAACCAGCGCGUUGCAUUUAGUUCAGUAGUAUAUGUUCAUGUGUUAUAUCUGGAAUAAACCGCAACCUCACUGGUUAGACUUCGGUUUGAAAGAAAGGUAACUCUCCAGUUCACCAGAUUAACCAGAAAACCAGCGUUCUAUGGAAGAUAUUUUGUUUUCCACAGCUUUGGGCAAAGAUCCAGAAGAAUGUGAUAAAUUAGAUUUCUUUGUUUUUAAGAUUAUCCUUCUAUUACCCCAUCACAAUUAAGCCACUCUUUAUGAUGAGGAGCCACUGGGAGACAUCAAAAUACUAAACGCUGAAACAGAGGUCUGUGGAGACAAACCGUAGCAACAUAUGUUCAAUAGCCUCGUCUAGUUCCUCUGAAGUUGUGAACCUGAUACACUUGUCAUCUCGUGUCACUUUGUGGUUUUUCAGCUCAUGAAAUGAACCCGUUUCCCAUUUGGGAGCGCGAGGGGCGGGGCGGCGGCCUGUUUGACGGGACAUUCCCACCACGCGCCCUCGCGCCCCCUUCCUCAGGCUUCCUGCUGCUGCCUGACCCGUUUUGGGUGGAAUAAGCAGGAGGGAGGAGGAGGCAGAGAAGAAGCAGCGGAGUGAUUCAGCAUGAGCAAGCAGAAACGCGGCGCGUCCGCUCGCGCAGAUAGACUUGCUGUUGUUGAGGCUCCAGCUUUUAGCAGCUGCACAACGGCUGCUAUUGUGCAGCGGCAGUCACAGUCACACAGUGGGAGCUUAGUGUCCUCCAUCAUGUCCUAAAGUUUGCUUUAAGACACUAUACGAUGCACUUUGCCCGUUCCUGUGCUCCUGUCACGUGCUCAGCAGCUGGACCAAAGGUUGAGGCUUCUUGAGCAUCAGGCCGUGACUCAAUCAAACGGACGCUCCGUCUCUCGCCUCCCGGACCUGCCUCCAGGUGAAAGGCCACCUGCGAUAACCUGCGGUCACGUGACUGCCGCCGCGGCGUGUCGCGGGGUUAGAAGGAGCGCUGGCAUGGCUGUUGUUGAUCAGUACGGCGUAAAGAUGGCACUCACCCGCCAGUCCUCCGCCUCCAUCCCCGUGGCCCUUCCGUUUCUGCAGGAUGAAAUACGGAUUCGCUCUCUCGGUGAUCCACAGCGCGCCCGCCAGCAGCACAUCUUCCGGGCUGACCCACAUAUUCCUUGUUUUUAAGGGAGCAUUGAACACACGGGACCGCAGACGGCGACCAUCAAAGCUGGUUCUACCGGAGAUGUGCGACUGGGACGAGGAAGGAUUCCGAAUAUCCUGGAGAAGCCGUCGACGGCCCGGUGCUUCCUCAAACGACCCCCCUCUCGGUGUCGCCUGCUACUGGAUGUCCGGUGAAAAAUUUAUGCUGCCUGUUUAUGCUAUAGGCUUUUUUCUGCCCAGCUGAAAGUGGCUGAGCUCCGCACCGCGGCCCAUUCUGGCAGCAAUGUAGCAUCAUUCCUCUCCCUCUUCGAAAACCCGUUGAAGCCAGCGGCAGGUAAUAUCGGCCAGUUGCUGGCCGUCACAGAAACUCUUGGAAGGGACAAGUGUCUUGUUUUUCCAGCCACUAACAGUGGAUGAAGAAAAGAAGAGGCUAAAUGAAGAAUUUGUGGCUUUCUAACAACUGUCUGCUUUGAAUUAAAAUAAAACGCUGCUGAACGACUCAUGCAACUAACCACAAA